rnacentral:rRNA from 1 species
AGAGUUUGAUCCUGGCUCAGAGCGAACGCUGGCGGCAGGCCUAACACAUGCAAGUCGAGCGCCCGGGCAACCGGGAGCGGCAGACGGGAGAGUAACACGUGGGAACGUGCCCAUCAGUUCGGAACAACCCAGGGAAACUUGGGCUAAUACCGGAUACGCCCUUACGGGGAAAGAUUUAUCGCUGAUGGAGCGGCCCGCGUCUGAUUAGCUAGUUGGUGAGGUAACGGCUCACCAAGGCGACGAUCAGUAGCUGGUCUGAGAGGAUGAUCAGCCUCACUGGGACUGAGACACGGCCCAGACUCCUACGGGAGGCAGCAGUGGGGAAUAUUGGACAAUGGGCGCAAGCCUGAUCCAGCCAUGCCGCGUGGGUGAUGAAGGCCCUAGGGUUGUAAAGCCCUUUCGGCGGGGAAGAUAAUGACGGUACCCGCAGAAGAAGCCCCGGCUAACUUCGUGCCAGCAGCCGCGGUAAU